rnacentral:lncRNA from 1 species
GUUAAACCCGGGCUGGGGAAGCCAGUGAUUAAAACUCUCGACGGAAGAUCCGCAAACCCCAGGAACUCUCCUCAAUAGCCUUAGAACAUUGACCGAAUGAAAAAGAAAAGCACUGAGUGGGCUAAAGGGAACCAUUCACCGUCACUGACUGCUAUGUCUUUUAGUGACCCAGGCAACAGAAGGGGGACUCUCAUAAACCACAAAGGAAAAUAAAUAACCUCACCCAUGGAGGGAAAGAGACAGCUUGAGAAAAGGGACUUUGGAAAAAGGCUCUCUCUAGAUAGCAGUCUCAUGGUAAGUACUGGAUAUUCAUUUACCGCUAUGUGUUUUGGCUUAAAAUGCAUUAUUCUUUGAUGCUGAUUUCCUAAACCCUGUGCUUUUGAAACCCCUAUUCCAGUUACCCCCUUAGCAAUAUCCCCUGAGAUUUUGUUUUGCUCAUGUUUUAUAAGGUCAAAAGCUAGAACAUUAUGGGAAUGUUUGUAUAGUGUCCUAAUAAGUAAAUGUCAUAAUCUCUCAGCAUUAUGUAUGAUUACAUUAAUUCCAACUGAAGUAAGCUUAAACCCACACAAAAACACUACUGCAUGGCUGAUGCCAAAUGCCAGGCCGAUACACAGUUGUUCUAGCACCCAUUUAUCUUAAGGCUGGGGGUCCGUUGAACAAGACUUCGGCAGAAUUUCAGAUAUUGAAGAAUGAAGAAAAUCUCUGCCAUCUUAGGUAUGUAAAUUCAUCCUGUGGUCCAUAAACUUUCUUUCUGAGUUGAAUGCUGAUGGGCGUCAUUCUUAACAACUUGGUUGGGUUUGCUUUCCUGUAUGAGAACCUGGCGAGUCCAAGGAAAUAGAUGAAGUCACUGAUUUUUUUUUCUUUCUUUAUAUAUGUAUAUAUUUUUAGGGUUGCACCUGUGGCAUGUCGAAGUUUCUAGGCUAGGAGUCAAAUCAGAGCUACAGCUGCCAGCCUACACCACAGCCACAGCAACACCAGAUCUGAGUCGCAUCUGCGACCUACACCACAGCUCAUGGCAACACCAGAUCCUUAACCCACUGAGUGAGGCCAGGAUUGAAUCCACAUCCUCAUGGAUACUAGUCAGGUUUGUCACUGCUGAGCCACAACAGGAACUCCUUGAAGUCCCUGAUUUCUGAAGGUGGGCCCUUCCUUCCAGUCCAAGCUAAGAUACUGGAUAUUGACAUCACCUAUUCAAUGAUGCCUCUGAACAAAGUAAGAAAUCAAAUGAAGUGAGUCACUCCUUUCUCUCUUGGUCACCUACUCAAGAAGAAAUGGAUGUUGGAUGUUGUUUAUGGAUGCGCUUUUUUCAUUUGUGUACUUGUAGCCCCUGGCCCAGAGUUGUGAUUACAGUAGUUGUCCAAUAAAAUAUUUGCUGAAUUGAUUUAUCAGUUGCCCUUUUCCAAUUCUGCUGCUGUAGGUCUGGCUCUGUCAGGGUCUAAAUGAGCUAUUUACUCCAUGACUGCUGAGGUUUCCCAUCUCAAGCUCUUCACAGAUGGGAGUUUCUGGUAACUGAAAAAAGAAUUGCAUUAAAAUGCUGUGUCCAGGUCUUCUCUUGUUAUUAGAGUCAACUUCUGUGUCUCUGUGAGCUCUGCCUCUGCAUUCCUUCAGAGGCUGAGAACUCUUAGAGAAUUUUAAGUUCUUCUCCCAGUGGUUAUGCCCUCUUUUCAUCUCUGAGGUCUAUCUCUCCAGGUAGAGUGUGGUGAAAAUUGUGUGUGUGUGUGUGUGUGUGUGUGUGUGUGUUUAUAUGUCUAUACCCUUUGCAAUCUCUAGGGAAUCUUAGGAUAAAAGGAUAAUUUCUCAGCCUCUCCUUUUUUUCUUUACCAAGGAAAACACUUCUUACAAAUCAACCCACCAAUAGGGUCUGUCAUAUGUCUCACCAGAUGCUUACGUAGUAUAAUAGGAGCAGCACAGGAAAGUUUCUCUGAACCCCAAAGUAUCAUCCUUGCUGAUUAAUCCCUAAAACCUAAAUUCUGUCUUGGGGGCCAGAGAAAAUACAAAGACCCUGUAAAGCAAGCAUGCUAAGCUAUUGUCUUUCAAUCAUUCACAGUAGCACUCAUUAAUAGAAGGUCUUGGAUCAUUUCCAGAUGUCAGCCAGAUGAGCAGAAUUUCCUUGAGGCAGUUGGUAAACAAAAGAUUGCAGAGCACAGAGGGCUGGCCUGCAGUGCUGUGCUGGGGUGGGGGGAGAGGAGGGGAAGCAGAUUAUCAAGAGGGCACUGGGUAUCUGAAAAUCUGAGGAGUUGCAAUGAAAUUUUUGCCUUCCUUUAAAUUUUCCUUAGGGACAGGCUUGACUGUGAAUAUAAAGCUCGUUGUAUUACCUGUGCUGGCUGAAAACCCCAAACCAAACUUGUACUCCCAUUGGCUUGCAGCUCUACCCUGUGUAUUGUGGGGGCUGUGAAUCUGUUUCUUGGCUGACAGCAUUAAAGAAUGUUGAGAAAAUGAGAACUUUUUGCUUGGUACCACCUGAGAAAUGUUAUCCUGUUAAAUCUCCCUAAAUGAUGCUUAGGAGAGUUCUUAUACUAGCGAAAUGUCUUCCUUGUUUCCUAGAAGCAGACUGAGGAUGUUUAUUGGGAGAAUCCUGAAAACGAAAAUGCUCUUGCAUGACUGUGUGGCCCUGUGUACGAGGAUGCUUAGACGCCACUCAUCAUUAUACAGCUUAGGACAUGUGACUCAUUUUGCCUUCUAUUUUUACUGAUAGGUUCUUUCCUCAUAUAAGAUGCUGCUCCUGGGACAGUGGCAGGAACAGGGUUCUUGUCAAGUUGGUUCUGAGGGUGUGAUACCCACUGAAAGGCCCUUAAAGUGAAUUUUAUUGUGAUUGUCAGAGAGACUGACAGGGAGGAGAUGAAAGCUGACCGGCCUGUAAAGGACUUGAACCCAAUGCUGCACCCUCCUCUUUGGCUCCAGGCCGAAACCACACACAUAACUAGGCAAGAAGCAUACAAGGAUGAUUCUAGGACAAGGUUGCUGGGAAAUG